rnacentral:rRNA from 1 species
UACGACUACAUAUCAGGCAUAUCAAUAAGCGGAGGAAAAGAAACUAACAAGGAUUCCCUUAGUAACGGCGAGUGAAGCGGGAAGAGCUCAAAUUUGAAAUCUUCAAGGUUCUACCUUGACGAAUUGUAGUUUAAAGAAGUGUUUUCUGUUAGAUGAGUAGCAAAAGUUCCUUGGAAUGGGACAUCAUAGAGGGUGAGAAUCCCGUAGUUUGGUUAUUCAUUUCUAGCUUUGUGAUACACUUUCAAAGAGUCGGAUUGUUUGGGAAUGCAGUCCAAAAUGGGUGGUAAAUUUCAUCUAAAGCUAAAUAUUGGCGAGAGACCGAUAGCGAACAAGUACCGUGAGGGAAAGAUGAAAAGAACUUUGAAAAGAGAGUUAAACAGUACGUGAAAUUGUCAAAAGGGAAGCGUUUGACACCAUGUGUUGUUUUUCCGAAAAUCAAUUAAAGAAGGGCUUGAUUUUGUGUUGUAUUGACCUUUAUCAGCUUUCUUCACUCUUUUUCGAGUCUUUCUUAAUGCACUUUUCGGUUAACAAGUCAACAUCAAUUUCUUUUGUUGUAAAAGGGUAUUUGGAAGGUGGCUUUCUUUUCGGAGAAAGUGUUUAUAGCCUUAUACCUCUACAAUCGGAGAGAUUGAGGUCUGCAGCGUAGAUCCUUCGGGGCUAGAUACACUUGUGCUAAGUUAUAGCUUUUCAUAGACAACUUGUUGACUAUGUUUAGUCAUGUAGCUUACCCGCUUGUGCUAUUUUACCUACGCUUAGGAUGUUGAUCUACAGAGCGAGAG